CAAUAGCGUAUAUUAAAGUUGUUGCAGUUAAAAAGCUCGUAGUUGAACCUUGGGUCUGGCUGGCCGGUCCGCCUCACCGCGAGUACUGGUCCGGCUGGACCUUUCCUUCUGGGGAACCUCAUGGCCUUCACUGGCUGUGGGGGAGACCAGGACUUUUACUGUGAAAAAAUUAGAGUGUUCAAAGCAGGCCUUUGCUCGAAUACAUUAGCAUGGAAUAAUAGAAUAGGACGUGUGGUUCUAUUUUGUUGGUUUCUAGGACCGCCGUAAUGAUUAAUAGGGAUAGUUGGGGGCAUUCGUAUUUAACUGUCAGAGGUGAAAUUCUCCGAUUUGUUAAAGACUAACUUAUGCGAAAGCAUUUGCCAAGGAUGUUUUCAUUAAUCAGGGAACGAAAGUUAGGGGAUCGAAGACGAUUAGAUACCA
rnacentral:rRNA from 1 species